CCAGGACCAUAGCGCUUUGGACCCACCUGAUCCCAUGCCGAACUCAGUAGUGAAACGAAGCAGCGCCGAUGGUAGUGUGGGGUCUCCCCAUGUGAGAGUAGGACAUCGCCAGGC
rnacentral:rRNA from 1 species